AACAACUCAGUUAAUAGAUGUGUUUUUCAAUUUUCAUAACAAUCAAAUUGAGGGAAAUCGUAAGUGAUAUUAGGGGGAAGGGAACACUGUUCUAAGACAAUGAAUUGUACAAAUAG